UCCUACGGGAGGCAGCAGUAGGGAAUUUUCCACAAUGGACGAAAGUCUGAUGGAGCAACGCCGCGUGCAGGAUGAAGGCUCUAGGGUCGUAAACUGCUUUUAUAUGUGACGAAUAUGACGGUAGCAUAUGAAUAAGGAUCGGCUAACUCCGUGCCAGCAGCCGCGGUAAUA
rnacentral:rRNA from 1 species